rnacentral:lncRNA from 1 species
AGCUUGGAGUUGGUGGUUGUGUAGGCUUGGGGCAUCUUGGGUCAUUAGAACCGGGAUAGCAUCGAGGUUGCUCGGGCGUUGUAGGUUUAGGGCACCUAGGGUCACUAGAACCUGGGUAGCAUCUAGGUUGCUCAGGUGUUGUAGGCUUAGGGCAUCUAGGGUCAUUCGAUCCAGGGAAGCACCGAGGUGGCUCGGGAGUUGUGGGUUUGGGACACCUGGGGUCACUGGAACCAGGGAAGCAACGAGGUGGCUCAGGUGUUGUGGGCUUGGGACAUCUAGGGUCACUGGAACCAGGGAAGCAACGAGGUGGCUCAGGUGUUGUGGGCUUGGGACAUCUAGGGUCACUGGAACCAGGGAAGCAACGAGGUGGCUCAGGUGUUGUGGGCUUGGGACAUCUAGGGUCACUGGAACCAGGGAAGCAACGAGGUGGCUCAGGUGUUGUGGGCUUGGGACAUCUAGGGUCACUGGAACCAGGGAAGCAACGAGGUGGCUCAGGUGUUGUGGGCUUGGGACAUCUAGGGUCACUGGAACCAGGGAAGCAACGAGGUGGCUCAGGUGUUGUGGGCUUGGGACAUCUAGGGUCACUGGAACCAGGGAAGCAACGAGGUGGCUCAGGUGUUGUGGGCUUAGGGCACCUAGGGUCAGUAGAUCCAGGGUAGCAACGAGGUGGCUCAGGAGUCGUUGGUCUGGGACAUCUAGGGUCAGUAGAUCCAGGGAAGCAACGAGGUGGCUCAGGAGUUGUUGGCUUAGGGCACCUAGGGUCAGUUGAACCAGGGAAGCAACGCGGUGGCUCAGGAGUUGUUGGUCUGGGACAUCUAGGGUCAUUUGAACCAGGGAAACAUUUUGGCGCAGGUGAUGUUGGCGGUAAAUAUGUAGGUGGGUUCAAUGUAGUUGGUUGUGUUGGUUGUGGACAUCUUCGGUC